AUUCAUCUAAGAGAGAGGAAAAGCAGGGAGACAUGAGAACAAGGGCAUGCUGGAUUACCCAGGUUUAGGCUUGUGUGGCUACACAGAAAUGAGAUGCAAAAGAGCACACAGGGUGGGCUAACAAUACAUUGAUGAUAACUACUUCCAUAGAGACAAAUGAAAAGUUUAUUUUCUAUGAUAUUUGUGUCUGGAAAAACAACAGCUGCAUUAAAAUAAUUUGAAUGGAAACAUUCUAUGGCAGUGAAGUUCAGAGGAAUAAGCACUUUGAACCAAAUUUAUGGUUGGACUUGAGGAUCUUAAAGGUUGUUUUCAACCUAAAUGAUUCCAUGAUUCUAUACUGUUUAAGUGUUUGGGCUGUAAGCUUCAGGCAUCAGGGAUGCUCUGAGCGGGGUUUGCAGCCUUGCAGGAGUUUGGAAAUGCUGCUGGUUGGUGAUGCCGUAUGUUCUGCCUGACCAACUGUCCUGGUUUCAGCUGGGAUAGAGUUAAUUUUAGCUGGUACAAUGCUGUGUUUUGGUUUUAGGAUGAGAAAAAUGUUGAUAUAGCACACUGAUUUUUUUAGUUGUUGCUAAGCAGAGUUUAUACCAAGUCAAGGACUUUUCAGCUUUGCAUGCCCAGGCAGCAAGGAGGCUGGAGAGGCACAAGAAGCUGGGAGGGGACACAGCUGGGACAGCUGACUCCAACUGGCCAGAGGGAUGUUCCAGUCCAUAUGGCAUCAUGCUCAGUAUAUAAAUUAGGGAGAAAAUGACCAGGAGUUGCUGCUCAGGAACUGACUGGACAUCGGUCGGUGAGUGAUACCUUUGACCUCUGACAUAUAGUGAAGAAAAGCCAAGGAAAGGCUGGCAGAGAGUGAAACCUUGAUGAGACUGCAGUUGUUCCACCUGUAUCCUUGCAGCCAAGAGGAGAAAAUGUGGAUGGAAUGGAUGAAUUACAAGAUGUAUUGGCUUGAUUUUGAACUUGUAAUGAUGACGUCUACUAUGAAGAAAAUGUGGAAUUACCCUGUCCUGGAGAGCUUACAGGUUGGCCUUAGACAGGGAGAGAACGAUGGGAUGGAGAGAAAUAGAGGAAAAGAGACAGUAAGACA